rnacentral:rRNA from 1 species
CUGAGAGGAUGACCAGCCACACUGGAACUGAGACACGGUCCAGACUCCUACGGGAGGCAGCAGUGGGGAAUAUUGCACAAUGGGCGCAAGCCUGAUGCAGCCAUGCCGCGUGUAUGAAGAAGGCCUUCGGGUUGUAAAGUACUUUCAGCGGGGAGGAAGGGAGUAAAGUUAAUACCUUUGCUCAUUGACGUUACCCGCAGAAGAAGCACCGGCUAACUCCGUGCCAGCAGCCGCGGUAAUACGGAGGGUGCAAGCGUUAAUCGGAAUUACUGGGCGUAAAGCGCACGCAGGCGGUUUGUUAAGUCAGAUGUGAAAUCCCCGGGCUCAACCUGGGAACUGCAUCUGAUACUGGCAAGCUUGAGUCUCGUAGAGGGGGGUAGAAUUCCAGGUGUAGCGGUGAAAUGCGUAGAGAUCUGGAGGAAUAUCGG